AGACAAUGAAAGAAGACAGGCAGACAGGAGAGAGAGAGAGAGAGAGAGAGAGAGAGAGAGAGAGAGAGAGAGAGAGAGAGAGAGAGAGUAUUCUAGUAGUGCAGUAGUGACCCCUUCGGGUUUUUAAUCUCUGAAAAGCCCACAUUAAAUAUCAUUGCCAUGCCCUGAAGGAUAAAGUAUUUAUAUCUUAACUCGAUAUGGGAACUUUGUAUGAUCAAACUCUUUAUCUCUUGGGGUUCAUAAAUUCCAGGCACCUUUUAAAAUUUGUUGCCUCUGUUAUCAUACACUGUUUGUCUUCCCCUGAUAUAUAUAGAGUUCCUAAUUCUUCUUCUUUGACCACGGCAGCAGUGUCCAGUAUAUCUGUUUCUCUCAGUAGAAAGUCAGUCCUCUAAGACAAGCAUCAGAUCCUAUUCAUUUUUGCUUUCCCAGGACAUUUACAUCUUAGUUUUGGCACAUAUAAAUGAACAUAUGCCUUUUUCUUCUCAGUCAUAUCAAGAUUAACUCAUAUAAUUCUUCAUCAAUUUUGAUGACUAGAAAUCAAAUACUGAUAUCCUUGUCUUUACGUAACUGAAAUGCCAUUAUGGGAUGUGAAAAAAGAACAGUGGGCUCUAUAAAGUCAAGCAAUAAAUAUUGGAGGCUGGAAAAUAUGAUGGAAAUGAUCAGCAUUGAAAACAAACUCUAUCUUCCCCAACUGAAAAUACUGCAGAAGGUAUUCAACAGUACUCAAACUGUGACUGUAUAAACACUACAGAAGUGAUGUGAGCAAUUAAGUUCCUUAGAGGAAAAUGAUAGAAAGGUUGUCAGUUUAAUUGAAUUUGCUGACUCCAUAGAGCUAAACCUGAGCUAGACUUUAAAGAUCAGUAUUUAUUUUAAAUAUAUCUUAGUUGAAUUUAGCAUGUCCAAGAUCAUGUGUGUGUCAACUCUAGAUGACUAGUUGAAAACCCUAAACACACACACACACACACACACAAAAUGAGUUACAUUGGCUGUCAUCAUCCUAUCACUAAAAUAAAGUGUGCCUAAGGUUCCAUGCCAUUUGUCCUAAAGUGACAAUUAAAGUAAGAACCCUUGUGAAUAAUAGGAGAGGCAUCAAAAAAGAAUCUACAUUAAUAAUUCAACACAUACAAUUAGUUUCUGGAAGUUUGAUUAUAAGUAAAAUGAUACAAGUGGAGGAUAAAAUAUAAAUCUCUGUGGUGAAAUGUGCUUAACAUAUGCCAGAAGUUGGGUUAACAACCCCCC
rnacentral:lncRNA from 1 species